rnacentral:rRNA from 1 species
CAUGAAGCUGGAAUCGCUAGUAAUCGCGGAUCAGAAUGCCGCGGUGAAUACGUUCCCGGGUCUUGUACACACCGCCCGUCACACCAUGGGAGUCGGAAAUGCCCGAAGUCUGUGACCCAACCGCGAGGAGGGAGCAGCCGAAGGCAGGUCGGAUGACUGGGGUGAAGUCGUAACAAGGUAAC